rnacentral:rRNA from 1 species
CGGGAAUUUUGGGCAAUGGGCGAAAGCCUGACCCAGCAACGCCGCGUGAAGGAUGAAAUCCCUCGGGAUGUAAACUUCGCAAGAACAGGAAGAAUAAGUAAGGGUUAAUAUCUCUUACGAUGACGGUACUGUUUGUAAGCUCCGGCUAACUCCGUGCCAGCAGCCGCGGUAAUACGGGGGGAGCAAGCGUUGUUCGGAAUUAUUGGGCGUAAAGAGCUCGUAGGCGGCUUGUUGCGUCGACCGUGAAAACCCGGGGCUCAACUUCGGGCUUGCGGUCGAUACGGGCGGGCUAGAGUUCGGUAGGGGAGACUGGAAUUCCUGGUGUAGCGGUGAAAUGCGCAGAUAUCAGGAGGAACACCGGUGGCGAAGGCGGGUCUCUGGGCCGAUACUGACGCUGAGGAGCGAAAGCGUGGGGAGCGAAC